CUUUGAUGAGCUGCACUACUGGACUGGAAAAAUAGUUGGGUCUUUUCCCUCCUUAUGGCAACAAUGAUGACUUUAGAGGAUCAGUUCCUAACAGGAAGAGGAAAGAAAGGAAAGCUUCUGUCUGAUUUCCUGCUGUGUGAGGGGCACAGCCUUGAGGAAUGAGUCUCACUGCCUUCCUGGGAGUCAUGGCCAAUUGAAAAUGCAGACAGAACUGUGAUGCAGGAAACACAGCAAGAGGAGUGACCACCAAUCCCACUAUUCUGAGCUGCUGAGCAUCCACCUGGAAUGUGACAGAGUUUCUAGUUUAGAACAGGAUGCAAGAGCAGACAAAAGGUUGGCCUCACUCUGUUACCUGCCAUGAGAUCUGCAAGAUGCCACUCAUUGUGCAGGAGGAAUUUAAAAUCAAGAGCCACAGCUAGGAGAGGAAGAUAAGUAUAUGACUGACCUUUAGACCUUCAAGAUAUGUUGAACAUAAAUGUGUGUAUGCACAUAGGGCCAAUUUAAAUAUAGUAAACUGGCUGACAGCUCUGGCUUCAGCUCAUCCUCCUUACUUAAUGCAGUACAGCCCUUAUACUGGAGAAUCUUGAGAUGCAAACACCCCUGAGCAGAGGGAGGUCAGCUCUCAGCCUCUCUGCUCAAGCCAGAUGAGACCAAAAGCCCUGAUACACACUGCAAAAGUCUGGGUGCAGAGACACCAUUGUGUCUGAGGUAUAAGUGUGUCCCUGUUUUACAGAGUGGGCAGUUUGUCCUUGCAUCCCCAGCCACCAAGAGCCCCACUGAGAUAAAGGGGUUUUGCCUGUGCCUGGAGAGAGAGAGGGACAGAACUGUUUAACAGCACAUGACAGUGACUAGCCACAGCUUGUGCUCAUUUCACACAGCUGAGGCUUUUUUAAAAAAGGAUUAAGAGUGUCCAAACCCCAAACAAUGCGAGGGCCUGCUUCAAUACGCCUGGAAGAUUAUUCCAGCUGUUUGGGGCUGGGCACCUAAAAAAGCAGAGCUUGCCUCCCAUAGUUAGUGGAGCUCCAGACACUUGGACAUGAAUAGCUUGGUUUAAGCAGAGGGCAGACUGGUAGCUAGUGCCAGAAAAAAGGAUACAAAACAGCACUGUAAAUGAGAAAUGAACAAUUAUAAACCUUUAAAAUACCCUUCAGGAAACCCAUGGCUGCUGUCUGCUGCUAGCUGCUGGAUCUUUUGUUCCGCUUACAGAUUUUCAUCCUUUUAUUUUCUCUUUUUUUUUUUCUUAUGAGGACAAACCCUGGCUGUAUAUACAGCAUAGCCUGCUACAGCCAGACUGGAGGCCAUGGGAAGCAGUGGUGCCUCUGGCUGCUGUUCUGGCAGCCUCCUGAGCCAGGGGCAGGGAACCCACGGGGACAGCGUGUUCCCUGCUGGCUGCGCUGGAAGCUUCAAAACAUGUUUAUGCCAAGUCAGCAAGAACCGCCCAGAUUGGUCAUGCCACGGAUCUCUCUCCCUUUCCAGGCUGCUGAAAGGAGCUGUGUCAAAGUCCAAGCCCACAUUUAAGUCUCUUCCAGGUGUUACCUGCAGUUGGCUCCUGCCUGCCCAGAGUCACUUACCCACCAUCUCACCAAUGCACCCAUGUCACCUGAAAGUGAAGGGCAAACAGGGCUGCCUCUCUGCCCCUCUUCCUGCUCAGUGGCAGAAAGGGCAGCUCUCCCUGUGCUCAAGUGACUUCCAGCAACUGGGCAGAACUCAGUGCCUUUUGAUAUCAAACCCUUCCAAACUCACAGCACGGCCAGGCAAGAGCAGAUAGUGUGUCCUGGUCAGCUGAAAAAGGAGUCAUUCCCCUUGAUCUUCCACAGGCAGGAUGCACCCCCUGUCAAAGGCUUAAAGGGACACCAAGUGCAUGACUGAAGUACCUCUCUGAAGCAUGGAGGAGCUGUGUGGGGGGCCCUGCAAGAGGGAACCAUGGCAGCUGUAGCACAGCAUGUCAAGUACUUGGUGGAGUUUCAAUCAGCUGGAAAUUAAAGCAGGAGAGAGUUGGGAUAUGGAGACCUCCAGCAUUCAGCUCUCUGCAGCAGUGUCAGGGUCUCUUGGAUGCCUCCAUCCAGGCUUGCUAAUGCCACCUGUCUGCCUGGGAAGGGGCUGGGCAUACGUUUCUUUGCCCACUGUUGAGGUUCCCUAAAGUGCAGGAGAAAAUGUUUGGGUUUGCCUUGAACUUGCAGUCCCUGCAGGGGAAAGCUGCUUGCACAGAGGGGCUGCAGCCCACACUGGUGGCUUGUGAGUCCUUGGUGCCAGGAACAGGCCUAUGGGUGUGCCUGGGGGGGAAGAGCACACAGGAACGUUGUGACCAAAGGGAGUCUUGUGUUCAUAAUAACGCUGCCAGCUUCAAGUACCACGGGUCAUCGUUCACAGCCCUCAAAAUGCAGAUUCAAGUUGCUAAGAAAACAAUGUUUAAUCCUCUCAUUUAACAUUAGAUUUCUUAUUUUGUUUUUCUCCUUUGCCGUUGAACUUCACCUCCAAAUGUGCAUGGCAACUGUCCCAGGUUGAUUGAGACAUUCACCAUUCACCAUGUGAAAACCAACAAUAUCAGUUCUAAUUCUACUGCCAGUUCUCCCCUUUCUCAGUUCUUCCCCCUACACCAUGUGGAUAGACUGAGCUCCUACCUCUCCUCUGCACAGCUCCCUGACACAUCUGCCUGUUUCCUUCCACUAGGCUGAACUGUCUUGGCCAGGGAAGGGAGCAACCACUGCUCCAGUGGCGCAAAAGGAAGCUUCCAGAAAUAAAUGGCUUUGUGAACAGAGGCUUUGCUGAUAGACUUCAGACCUUUAGAGCAUCCUGGUGUCACUAGAAGCCAAGCAAAGUGUAGUUCAGAGCUGCUGCUGCCACUACAAGGUGUGCUCACCAUGGAUACAGGCUGACAGCAUGCCCUUGAGUUCAGGACAGCCAUGCACCUUUCCCCAGAAGGGAACUUGGAAACAGCAGGACAGACUCACCUGAGAGCUGGCUCAGCCAUUGGGAGGUGGAUUCAUCCAAUCUGAUGCGGCUUUGAAAAUACAGAAGCAUGAUCAGCAAUUAUAUGGCGGUGUGAAACUUCAGGACAUCUCACAAAAUCACAGAAUCACAGAAUCACAGAAUCACAGAAUCUGCUGAGUUGGAAGGGACCCACAAGGAUCAUGGAGUCCAACUCCUGUCCCUUCACUGGACCAUUUCCAAGAGCCACAACAAGAGCCUGAGGGCAUUGUCCAAACACUUCUUGGACUCUGUGAGUCUUGCUGUUGUGACCGCUUCCCUGGGGAGCCUGUUCCAGUGCCCAAACACCCUCUAGGGCAAGAACAUUUUUCUAAUAAAUCUUAA